CCCUCUAGUUGCGGGUAUAAAAGAGCCGGGUACAUGUUGCCCGAUUGCCUUAGUCUCUCCGGUGCCCGCGUUUUGUGGAUUUCGAUUGUGAUUCCUUCCUUCAGCCUUACAAAACCCCAGCAGCAGAAAUGGAUCUGAGUGCUCGCGACAUUGAAAGGGGGAAAUUCGCCUUCUCCAUCUACGAUUUUGAGGGUAAUGAGACUAUGGACAUGUUCUACUUGGGAGACUGCCUCCGAGCUCUUAACCUAAACCCCACCUUGGCUCAAAUCGAGAAAAUGGGUGGCACAAAGAAGAAGGGAGAGAAGAAGAUCAAGGCUGACGAAUUCUUGCCCAUCUUCUGCCAGAUCAAGAAAGAAAAGGAUCAAGGCACCAUUGAAGAUUUCAUUGAGUGCAUGAAACUCUACGACAAGACCGACAACGGAACCAUGGUCUUCGCAGAGCUCCAACACAUCCUCAUGGCUUUGGGCGAGCGCCUCGAAGAGAAGGAAGUCGAUGACAUCAUGGCUGCCUGCUGCGACCCCGAGGAUGAGGAUGGCUUGAUCCCCUACAAACCGUUUCUUAACCGACUUUUGGCCGGACCCUACCCCGACAGUCAGCAAUAAGAUUUUUAAGUGUUACGCCUCUUCAACCCUACCCUUCAACAAAAAAACAAAAAAAACGCAAACAGUUACACAUCCAUCAGCUUUCUUGGAGAAAAUGAUUGCUGGUCCUUUCCCGGACGCGGAAUAAACAUCAACAUCAACAACACCCACACCCAACCGUGAAAAACCGCAAAAAUUUCUUCUUGUCACAACCACCAGUUGCCAAAGAAUGGAUUAAUUAUCACAAAUAACCAAUACAACAUACAAAGACGAGAUUCUUUUUCAUUGAUUUAACAGAUUUAUUAUGAUGUCUCCAAUUCUGUUUUGUUUGUUUUCUUUUUUGAUUUGAGGGGAAUCGAGUAGGAACGAGGGGAAGGGCGACGUCAUCAGCAGAUCAGCUUCGUUGUUUUUCGUGGAAAAAAAAAACUUUUUUUUGUGAAAAGAAGAACGAGUUAACAAAAUAAUUAAAAUUAAAAGCAUCGAAUCCUGUGUCGUUUGAGGGAAGGGAGACUUAAUGUAACAGCCGAAUAAAGUCAUAUGUGCAUGAUUGUGA